GACGAACGCUGGCGGCGUGCCUAAUACAUGCAAGUUGAGCGCUGAAGGUUGGUACUUGUACCAACUGGAUGAGCAGCGAACGGGUGAGUAACGCGUGGGGAAUCUACCUUUGAGCGGGGGACAACAUUUGGAAACGAAUGCUAAUACCGCAUAAAAACUUUAAACACAAGUUUUAAGUUUGAAAGAUGCAAUUGCAUCACUCAAAGAUGAUCCCGCGUUGUAUUAGCUAGUUGGUGAGGUAAAGGCUCACCAAGGCGAUGAUACAUAGCCGACCUGAGAGGGUGAUCGGCCACAUUGGGACUGAGACACGGCCCAAACUCCUACGGGAGGCAGCAGUAGGGAAUCUUCGGCAAUGGACGAAAGUCUGACCGAGCAACGCCGCGUGAGUGAAGAAGGUUUUCGGAUCGUAAAACUCUGUUGGUAGAGAAGAACGUUGGUGAGAGUGGAAAGCUCAUCAAGUGACGGUAACUACCCAGAAAGGGACGGCUAACUACGUG
rnacentral:rRNA from 1 species